ensembl:snoRNA SNORD22 Small nucleolar RNA SNORD22
UCCCAUGAAGAAUGUCACAUAUCUCCUGUCCCAGUACAAGAAGCUGUACUGGUGUACCCUCUGGGACCCACUUGGGGGAAGGAGGGAAAUUUGUUCUAGAAGAUGCUACCUGAAGGAC